rnacentral:rRNA from 1 species
GAUGAACGCUGGCGGCGUGCCUAAUACAUGCAAGUCGAGCGAAUGGAUUAAGAGCUUGCUCUUAUGAAGUUAGCGGCGGACGGGUGAGUAACACGUGGGUAACCUGCCCAUAAGACUGGGAUAACUCCGGGAAACAGGGGCUAAUACCGAAUAACAUUUUGAACCGCAGGGUUCGAAAUUUAAUGUCGGCUUCGGCUUUCACUUAUGCAUGGACCCGCGUCGCUUUAGCUAGUUGGUGAGGUAACGGCUCACCAAGGCAACGAUGCGUAGCCGACCUGGGAGGGUGAUCGGCCACACUGGGACUGAGACACGGCCCAGACUCCUACGGGAGGCAGCAGUAGGGAAUCUUCCGCAAUGGACGAAAGUCUGACGGAGCAACGCCGCGUGAGUGAUGAAGGCUUUCGGGUCGUAAAACUCUGUUGUUAGGGAAGAACAAGUGCUAGUUGAAUAAGCUGGCACCUUGACGGUACCUAACCAGAAAGCCACGGCUAACUACGUGCCAGCCGCCGCAGUAA